CCAGACUCCUACGGGAGGCAGCAGCGAGGAAUAUUGGUCAAUGGCCGCAGGGCUGAACCAGCCAAGUCGCGUGAGGGAUGACGGUCCUAUGGAUUGUAAACCUCUUUUGUCAGGGAGCAAAGGGCGCCACGUGUGGCGCUUUGCGAGUACCUGAAGAAAAAGCAUCGGCUAACUCCGUGCCAGCAGCCGCGGUAAUACGGAGGAUGCGAGCGUUAUCCGGAUUUAUUGGGUUUAAAGGGUGCGCAGGCGGUGUGGAAAGCACGGGGGAAAAGCCCGGGGGCCAACCCCGGCCCCGCCGUUGAAACUGGCAGUCUCGAGUUGGAGAGAAGUAUGCGGAAUGCGCGGUGUAGCGGUGAAAUGCAUAGAUAUCGCGCAGAACUCCGAUUGCGAAGGCAGCAUGCCGGCUCCACACUGACGCUGAGGCACGAAAGCGUGGGUAUCGAACAGGAUUAGAUACCCCGGUAC
rnacentral:rRNA from 1 species